rnacentral:rRNA from 1 species
UACGUAGGGUGCAAGCGUUAAUCGGAAUUACUGGGCGUAAGCGUGCGCAGGCGGUUUGGUAAGACAGAUGUGAAAUCCCCGGGCUUAACCUGGGAACUGCAUUUGUGACUGCCCGGCUAGAGUGUGUCAGAGGGGGGUAGGAAUUCCACGUGUAGCAGUGAAAUGCGUAGAUAUGUGGAGGAAUACCGAUGGCGAAGGCAGCCCCCUGGGAUAACACUGACGCUCAUGCACGAAAGCGUGGGGAGCAAACAGG